GUGAUACCAGUUAUUCACAAAUUAAAAACGGUUUUACAUCGUUAUUUCUAUGUAAUAUAAUUUCCAUUGAUCAAAUUACUUAUAUUUAUAUUUCAGUGUAAAAAUGAAUUUAAUUAAUAUGUAAUUAUAUUGAAUUGCAGAUAAUGUGGAUAAAAGAAAAAAUCAGCAUUGAAAUUACUACGCCGGCGAUCGCGGUACACUAAUUUUGAGAUGACUGAUGAAAGAAAUGAGUAUCAUCAACUACUUUGCAGACAGCCAAAUAAUUCUCCUAAGAAAAAACUCGUUUCAACUGUGGUUUUGUGUUAAAAAACAUUAAAUUACGCAUAUUUUUACAAGAUAUGUUGGUCGGAUGCCAGUUCAUAUUUUGUGAGUCAUAAUUUAGCUGAUGAUAUUUAGAUUGGAUGCCAUCUCACAAAUUUGAGAGAUAUGAUUUGGAUAAAAUUUUUAUAAUUCUAUCCUAAACUAGGCCAGAUCAUUAGGUUUAUAUUGUAAAUAUUUAUUUAUGAAUGUUAGCUUAUUAUAUUAAGAUCGGAUGCCGGCUUGCAACUUAAUGAAAGCUAUAAUUUGGAUGAAAUUUUUAUAAUUCUAUCCUAAAUUAGGCCAGAUCAUUAGAUUUAUAUUUUAAAUAUUUAUUUAUAAAUUUUAACUUAUGAUAUUUAGAUCGAAUGCUAACUCACACUUGUGUAAGUCAUAAUUUAGGUAAAAUUUUUAUAAUUUUAUUAUAAAUUAGGCCAGAUCUUUAAUUUUUUAUAAAAAAAAUUGUAAUUUUGCAUAUUAAUUUACGAUAUUGAGAUGGGAUGCCAGCUCACAAUUUUGUGAGUUAUGAUUUGGAUGAAAUUUUUAUAAUUCUAUCCUAAAUUAGGCCAGAUCAUUAGAUUUAUAUUUUAAAUAUUUAUUUAUAAAUUUUAACUUAUGAUAUUUAGAUCGGAUGCUAACUCACACUUGUGUGAGUCAUAAUUUAGGUAAAAUUUUUAUAAUUUUAUUCUAAAUUAGGCCAGAUCUUUAAUUUUUAUAAAAAAAUUGUAAUUUUGCAUGUUAAUUUACGAUAUUGAGAUGAGAUGCCAGCUCACAAUUUUGUGAGUUAUGAUUUGGAUGAAAUUUUUAUAAUUCUAUCCUAAAUUAGGCCAGAUCAUUAGGUUUAUAUUUUAAAUAUUUAUUUACGAAUGUUUGCUUAUAAUAUUAAGAUCAGAUGCCGGCUUGCAAUUCGAUGCGAGUUAUAAUUUGGAUGAAAUUUUUUAAUUUUGUCUUAAAUUAAGUCAGAUUUUUAGUUUCUAUAUAAUUAUUGAUAAAAUUACUUUAGUAUCUAUUAAAAUUAGAAAUAAACAGUAGCACGAUUAAUAUUUAAUAUUUUUGAGUCUCUUUUGAUUAAAAAAUUACAUUUCUAAUAAUUCAUAUAUUUCAGUUUAUAUUUACAGAAAUCACUUUAAUCAACAAAUCUAGAUUAUGACUUAGUUUUAGCUAUGUAGAGAGAUGGCGCUACUGUUUGUUUCUAAAAACCAUUAAAUAUUUAUUUUUUUUAUUUGUCGUCGGUAAUGACGACGUUAUCAAAACUAGGGGACCCCGAUACUUAUCUGUUCUACUAUCGUUACACCUUAAGAUGAAUUAUUUAGAAAACUAGAAAACAUUGUAUUAUACUUUAACCUUAUGGAUGUUUUCUUUUUAUUAUUCUUACAUUCAAAAUUUUAUUAACAACUCGAGCCUUCAACGUUUAACAAAUGUGUUUAUAAUAAUAAUGUUAUUAACUCAUUUUUAUUAUUCAAGAAUACAUGUGUAUUUACUAUAUUCAAAUAAUUCAAAACAAAAAAAACUACAUCAAUAAACAUCUAUCUAAUAUAAUUAACUAUCCUGCGACAUUUGUUAGUAAAAUAAUUAAUAAACGAUUCAUAGAAUAAAAUAUCCCGAAAAAUUUUAGGGGAAACAACAUAUCAGUCUUCCAAAUCAGUAUAUAUUUCUUUUUGUAUUUGAGGAAAACAACAUUUUCAUUAAUUAUACAGUGCUGUAAACCACGUUUUAUAUGCUCAUAUAUAUAUUACAUUUUUAUCUAGAUGAAACCUCAAGUACCUAAUAAGUAUUUUUAACGAUCUUCCAAACUUGAUAAAUGUUACCUCAACCAAGCAAACCUAAUAAUAAUAAAAAUAUUUUUCUUGUACAAGUCAAAAAUUAGUAUUAAUAAACUUGCUUUAAAAACUUUGCAAUAAUUACUCCGACAAACGAAAAAUAUCCCAUUCCACAAAUUAAAUGUUGCCAUGAAUAAUGUAAUUAGUUAAUUUAAAAUGGAAAAUUUUCAGUUUGUAGUACUUCCAAAUAAAUGUGCCUCAUUAAUCGAAGUGCCUAAGAAUGUAAUACAAAUUAUAAAACAUUGCAACAAAAGAAUAAGUUCAAGAAAUUCUAUAUUAAGCGCCUAUAUCUGAAGGUAUUGAAACUCAAAUUUUUUCUAAAUGUGGAAGCACUACUGAAUUUAAUUAUUCUUAUAUAACCAAUUCAAUUUUUACUAAAUGUGAAAGCACUAAUGAAUUUAUUUAUUCUUAUAUAACCAACUCAAAUUUUACUAGAUGUGAAAGCACUAAUGAAUUUAAUUAUUCUUAUAUAAACAAUUCAAUUUUUACUAGAUGUAAAAGCUCUAAUGAGUUUAAUUAUUCUUACACAAGCAAUUAAAUUUUUACUAAGAGUGAAAGCACUAAUGUACCUAAUUAUUAUUAUAAAAGCAAUUCAAUUUUUACUAGAUGUGAAAGCACUAAUGUACCUAAAUAUUGUAUCUAGAAAAAUUGAUGAUGUUACCGAAACUCGCGUCAUGACUAUGAAAGCCCUAACUCUCGUUUUAAAGUAGGGAGGUGUGUUACGAGUGGAAACUUUGGUCAAUUUAAUGAGUAAUACAAAAUAUUCCUACUGUAAGGCAAUUGAAAUAGAAGGAUCAGGAUUUAAGAAA